rnacentral:lncRNA from 1 species
GCCCAUUGCUCCCUUGGGAAGCAGUGUACAAAUGACAUUAGUCACAAUCCAUAUCAAUCAUAUGUAUCCAUUCCACAGUUUCUCAUAGAAUGCUGUGUUUUGAUGCUUCCCUCUACCCCCAAAACCAGGUUCAAUCAAAGAUUGAGAAAAAGCAUCAUCUAUGUUUUAAGCUGGUGGCGUGUUCACAGCCUUGGGAUGUUUCUGUUAUUGAAAGCUGUUGUGGAAUAUUGCAAAUAGUUCUGUUUUUUUAAAUGAUACAUAUUUUAGACACAGAACAAUUUGGGUGUGCGUGCUCAGAAACACUCUGUCAAAUUAAGUUGUUGGUUGCUAAUUUUUAAAACAAACAAUGUUGGUUCCCCAUCCAUGGGGAAAACACUCAACAUGAGAUACCAGAAUCCAUUUUGUUAUAAGAAAAAACUACUCCUUUUCCCUUAUGGGGUAUCCAAGAGCCCGUAUAGAGUCCUUAAGUGGGUUCCUUAUCGGUAGGAGAAAAUAACAGAGGCCAACCAGAGAAUAUUGAGAAGCAAAGCGGCUAGUAAGCCUGAUCUUUAUUUAACUGUUGCAACAGGGUCCUCACUCAUCACAUGCAGGAGGGAGGAGGAACCCAGAACAAUGGUGUGCAAGCCUUUAUAUAGACUUUUGAAAUUGCCCACCCUGUAGCAGCCCAAGACCACCCCCCUAAAACAUCAUACAUACAUCACAGAAGGAAGCUGUCUACAGCAGAAAAACAUGACAGGAGGCGGGCUACAGCAGAAAACCCGUCUGCCAGGAUACCUGAUAAUGGUCACUGAUUGCUUUACCUGGGCAGCCUGGCCAUUCUUUUGUGAUGGUAAAUACUUUAAUUCCCGAAUCCAGGUCACAGGCUCACCCUAUUUAUACACAAAUAUAGCCUUAAGACAGGUAAGCAAAAGAUGAGAGGCUUUCCCAUUUCCUUCCUCCUUGCAGAGAAAUAUUUGAGGUCAAUUUGAGAGUCAAAAUGGCUUCAGGACUGCUCUCCUGCACUAUUUCAGACGCGCAGUCCACAUACUUAUGUAUAUGUUUGCCUUGUACAUUUAUGAGUGUUUAUUUUAUAUUUGGGACCUUAGAAUUCCUAUAACAAUUUGGAAAGCAAAAAGUGGAAACCCCAGUUGUCAAAUGUCUCCAGAUGGUCUGAAACAGACGGAGACAGAUGGAUCUAGGUUGAAAAAGGGAGGGAGGCAGGCUUGGAAGCCCUUUCCAGACCACCGUAGGGGAUGGCCUUGGGCAAGAUGGACUCAUAACUUUUAGAGACGUCCUUUUGUUACCUUGCACACCUAUCUGUAUGGCAGUCUGUCUCCUGCUUCCACUCCCAUAACAAUAACAAGAAGUUUCCCUUUGCCUGUGACGACCUAGCAUUCCUCCCCACAUAUCUGGCUGCUCCUGCUUUCGGGUGGAAAAAUGUGGAACCCAGGGAGACCAGGAGACAGGUAAGAUUUACUAGAUGUUGCAGUUUGGGUGGUGGUGGAGCGAGUCAAGCAGCUGCUAUUUUAGGCAGCAGCCGUGCAUCUCAUUUGACCCCAGCCUGGUGUUGCUUCUGACCAGCCACUAAUCCUCCAAGCUUCUGAAAACUUUGCCUCCCUGGGGAAGGGAGUCUGCACCACUUCCUGCCCCACUCCUCCCCACUGACUACCCCUUGACCUCCUUCCCAGUUCUUCCAACACAGACUAUAUAACCCUCUGGAAUGGGAGCGCAUCAUUUCUGUAUAUUGCAUAUACAAUAUACAGUAUACCACCUGGCACACACUGGGUGCUAAAUAAUUAGCAGUUUUCGGUACUAGCUUCCUAAUGGUGUUAUCUGACUAGGGGAAAGUGUCACGCCUCUGAUUCAUCAUCAUCUCUCAGCCAGGCACAUACUGUGUGUUCCCUUUGACUCCCCGCUCUUCCCGCCUGCCUUUUGCCUAUGUUUGUGUCCAGACACCAGAGAACUCUAGCCAGGCUUGUGGUGCUUCUGAUCUCUUCAAGGCUAAGGCUCCAUCUAAAUAGACACAGCUCCUAUCGAGCCCUUCCUGUGCGCGCUCUCUUUCUCGCUCUCUCUCUUUCUGAUGGGGCAGGAAUUUUAGGUUUUCUGGGCCCCGGCCCCCCCAGCCACAGCGUUUAUUUAAUAUCCUGAAAAAAUUUAAAAUAACUUCUGCGGCCGCUAGGAAAAACAAAGAUAAAUAUAAUAAAAGUGAGACGAAAAUAUAGCCCCAGAGAAGGGACUGGAAGCUUUCCUAACCAACGGCUGGGAUCCAGGAGGGGCAUAAAUGGAACAGGGAUCACACACUCACAUGCACAAGUAGGUGCACAAAUGUGGGCUUGCACGAUGAAGUGAAGAUCAUGUGGACGGACGGUGCCACAAUAUUCACAUAUGACUGCACAAGAACGCUAUUGCGUUCGACUCGCAUGACCUAACCUGUACAAACCUGGAUGCAUGUACACGCAUGUUCACAUGCCUGUACACACUUUAAAAUAGGGUUGUGUGGGCACAACAAAUAUGGACAACCAAAGCUGCUGCAUGUAAAUCCUUACCCAUCAGAGCAAAGCGCUGGAAAGUAGAAGAAACAAAUCUGCAACAAAACGUUGCAGUGUUUCUCCUGUCUGAGUGCUUUCCCCAUCCCACAGUUGUUGUUGUUGUUUUCUUUCCUGUCACUCUACAGCAUCUCUCUCCAACCUGAUGCUCUUGACAUGUUUUGGCUGACUCUGAUGGGAGUUGUUGAAAAGAUCUGGAGGGCACCAUGUUGGGGAAGACUUUUGUGCAGUCUGUGGCGGGCGCAGCUGUGUGUGUUCAGUCCUGUGUGGGCUAUUUGGGGCCAGGAAAGACGGCCCCUUAGGUGUUUUAUUUUUAAAAGCUCUUUUUUUCACUUCUGCAAACCUUUGGGUUCCACAAGCAUGCUGAUAGCUCUCCCUUGUUUACUCAGUAGCCCUGUUUUCCCUACAAGUCCUGUUGGCACUCAUCACAUGACUUUGCUACUGGAAGGAGUGACUAGCUGUCAGGGACUGGGCAGAGAAGGAAUGGUGGAGACUGCCUCCCCAGCCUGACCCUUCCAGGGAGGAGGAAGAGGAAGGCAGUUUAGAUUUAUAACCGGGCUUUGCGGGAGGUCACAGCUCAGAGGCAGAUGGGGGGGGGAGUUGGGAAAUAAUAGGAGAGGAGGAGGAAGCAGCAGCAGAGGGGCGACAGCUGAUGGACAUGGUGUCUUUAGAAAGCGUUCCAGACCCCACCCCGCCCAGAACCUGGCAAGCUUUGAAAGUAGGAGAGCAAAGAGCUCAAAGACAGGGAGCAUGUAGCAGCACCUGUAGAAGUGAUGAAUGAGGAAGUGGGAGAGACGGGGGGUAGAGAUUUGCUCGGGACAAUGCCAUUGGGUUGGGGGGCUAUUGGGUUGUUUUUAUUUUUAUUAUGUAUUUUGUGGUUUUAUAUCUUGAUUUUAGGGACGCGGGUGGUGCUGUGAGUUAAACCACAGAGCCUAGAACUUGCUGAUCAGAAGGUUGGCGGUUCGAAUCCCCGCGACGGGGUGAGCUCCCGUUGCUCGGUCCCUGCUCCUGCCAACCUCGAAGUUCAAAAACACGUCAAAGUGCAAGUAGAUAAAUAUGUACCGUUCCAGCGGGAAGGUAAACGGCGUUUCCGUGUGCUGCUCUGGUUCGCCAGAAGUGGCUUAGUCAUGCUGGGCACAUGACUCGGAAGCUGUACACCGGCUAAUAAAGUGAGAUGAGCGCCGCAACCCCAGAGUCAGUCACGACUGGACCUAAUGGUCAGGGGUCUCUUUACCUUUUAUCUUGAUUUUAUUCUGUGAACUGCUCUGAGACCCUCGGGUAUAUAAAUUAAAUUAAUAAAUUACAUUAUAUUAUAUUAUCCAAGAGGCUGGGUUCUAUAGCCUAUGUAAAUACUGAAUAAAAAAGAAUGGUAAGAAAUCUCCCUUGUCUUUAUACUUUCCUGGCAAUCAGCUGGGAGUUGCUGACAGCAUCCUGACACUAGAUUCAUCAAUAGCUGUUGCCUAUGAUAGCUAAAGUAGAAUCUACAUACUGAUAUCCAGAUGCUGAGGGCAAAGAGUAGGAGGAGGAAGUCUCCGUCACUGCAUCCUGCAGUUGAACUUCAAGACGCAUUUGUCUAGCCAAAGCUGAAGACAGAGUGCUGGACUAGAGGACCAUUUGUUUAGACGUAACAAGGCAAUCCCUGUGUUCUUUCAUUCAGGUAAUGAAACAGCGUAAGUCACUGAGGCAGAGGCUUCAUAUGUGCUUUUUUGGGUGAAUUGCUGGCCCUGUGGUCUCCAAGUUCUAGAACCUUCCAAAAUAUUACUGGCGUUGAAGCUCAGAGUUUUGAAAUAUUCACUGCUGGAAACCCCAGCACACAAGAGUGGCUGUCUUAAAUUGUGAGGAAACUGUAGCUAUGUCAUGGAGUCAUCCUUGAGAAGGGAGAUGAAAAGACGACGACUCUUCACAAGAAACUAGUUUCCUUUUAUUGCGUUAUUGGAAUGCAUUUUGUAGACCAAAUGUAAUUCCAGGAAAUGGCAUUGCUUUAAAACAAAUCCCAAUUUUCCUGGAAGUCAAAAUCGAAGAAAAGAUUUUGUAAAAUAAAAGGG